GAGACCUCAGGUCAAGCGGGGCUACCCGCUGAGUUUAAGCAUAUCAAUAAGCGGAGGAAAAG
rnacentral:rRNA from 1 species